rnacentral:rRNA from 1 species
AUUGAACGCUGGCGGCAGGCCUAACACAUGCAAGUCGAGCGGAGCGGCGGACGGGUAAGUAAUGCCUAGGAAUCUGCCUGUUCGUGGGGGAUAACGUUCGGUAACGGGCGCUAAUACUGCAUACUAUCAGAUGAGGCUAGGGCGGAUUAGCUAGUUGGUGGGGUAAAGGCCUACCAAGGCCACGAUCCGUAGCUGGUCUGAGAGGAUGAUCAGUCACACUGGAACUGAGACACGGUCCAGACUCCUACGGGAGGCAGCAGUGGGGAAUAUUGGACAAUGGGCGAAAGCCUGAUCCAGCCAUGCCGCGUGUAUGAAGAAGGUCUUCGGGUUGUAAAGCACUUUAAGUUGGGAGGCGUUACCAACAGAAUAAGCACCGGCUAACUUCGUGCCAGCAGCCGCGGUAAUUC